UGCCCUAAAAGCGCCGCCUCAUUCCUUCUUCGUGCCCACUCUGCCCCCUCUCGCCAUUUCACCCGAUUUCGCCGACAAGCUCAGCCGCGACUAAUCGCCGGCGUCGGGAGUGCGAGACCAGUCUCCGGUCUUCCCCACGGCCGAUCGGAGAUCUCCCCGGUGGCAUCCUUCGUCGAAACAUAGCUUCGUGCAAGGGAUUCUCGGCCGGGAGAGGGGAUAUCGAACUCCGGUGAUACUGGAGUGAGAUCUAUUGUUCCAGAGCUCCAUGGUGGCGAGAACCAGGUAGCUGAUCCAUUUUCCCGAGCCUUAGAGCCAAGCUGAUACCGUCGGGUUUUCCUUCCGCUGCUGGUGGUGGCUUCCGGCAGUGAGUGGUUCAUUGGGAGGAGCUCGGCCAAGCUUCACCAGCAGCAAUCCAACACUGGCGGACAUCCCCAGCAGAUGAUUUCCGGCCGUGAGUCAUUGGCCCUGGGAGAGCUCGAAUCUGUGAAUCUGUAGCAUUGGGCAGCAUCGGUGUGCUAGUGCCGGCGAUCUCACCUUCCGGCGGAGAGUCAACAGUGGGGAGCUCACCGUGAGGACUUUGAUCGAGGCGGGUAUUGUGACGAGGUUGACGUCGGAUUCAGCCUACAUUUGAGGCGGGUACUUCUUAACUUGCU